rnacentral:rRNA from 1 species
CUUAACACAUGCAAGUCGAACGAUGACCCGGAGCUUGCUCUGGUGAUUAGUGGCGAACGGGUGAGUAACACGUGGGCAACCUGCCCCUAGCUCUGGGAUAACUGCGGGAAACUGUAGCUAAUACCGGAUGUGACAUGAGACUGCAUGGUCUUCGUGUGGAAAGAUUUAUCGGCUAGGGAUGGGCCCGCGGUCUAUCAGCUUGUUGGUGGGGUAAUGGCUCACCAAGGCGACGACGGAUAACCGGCCUGAGAGGGCGACCGGUCACACUGGGACUGAGACACGGCCCAGACUCCUACGGGAGGCAGCAGUGGGGAAUAUUGCACAAUGGGCGCAAGCCUGAUGCAGCGACGCCGCGUGAGGGAUGACGGCCUUCGGGUUGUAAACCUCUUUCAGUAGGGACGAAGCGAAAGUGACGGUACCUGCAGAAGAAGCGCCGGCCAACUACGUGCCAGCAGCCGCGGUAAUACGUAGGGCGCAAGCGUUGUCCGGAAUUAUUGGGCGUAAAGAGCUCGUAGGCGGUUUGUUACGUCGGCUGUGAAAUCCCGAGGCUUAACCUCGGGCUUGCAGUCGAUACGGGCAGACUAGAGUGGAGCAGGGGAGACUGGAAUUCCUGGUGUAGCGGUGAAAUGCGCAGAUAUCAGGAGGAACACCGAUGGCGAAGGCAGGUCUCUGGGCUUUAACUGACGCUGAGGAGCGAAAGCGUGGGUAGCGAACAGGAUUAGAUACCCUGGUAGUCCACGCCGUAAACGGUGGGCGCUAGGUGUGGGGACCAUUCCACGGUCUCCGUGCCGCAGCUAACGCAUUAAGCGCCCCGCCUGGGGAGUACGGCCGCAAGGCUAAAACUCAAAGGAAUUGACGGGGGCCCGCACAAGCGGCGGAGUAUGUUGCUUAAUUCGAUGNMACGCGAAGAACCUUACCAAGGCUUGACAUAUACCGAAAACUCGUAGAGAUACGGGGUCCGUAAGGGCGGUAUACAGGUGGUGCAUGGUUGUCGUCAGCUCGUGUCGUGAGAUGUUGGGUUAAGUCCCGCAACGAGCGCAACCCUCGUUCUAUGUUGCCAGCACGUUAUGGUGGGGACUCAUAGGAGACCGCCGGGGUCAACUCGGAGGAAGGUGGGGAUGACGUCAAAUCAUCAUGCCCCUUAUGUCUUGGGCUGCAAACAUACUACAAUGGCCGGUACAAAGGGCUGCGAUACCGCAAGGUGGAGCGAAUCCCAAAAAGCCGGUCUCAGUUCGGAUUGGGGUCUGCAACUCGACCCCAUGAAGUCGGAGUCGCUAGUAAUCGCAGAUCAGCAACGCUGCGG